GACGUAGGGCGCGAGCGUUGUCCGGAUUUAUUGGGCGUAAAGAGCUCGUAGGCGGCUCGUUGCGUCGGCUGUGAAAACCCGCAGCUCAACUGUGGGCUUGCAGCCGAUACGGGCGGGCUGGGAUUCGGUAGGGGAGACUGGAAUUCCUGGUGUAGCGGUGAAAUGCGCAGAUAUCAGGAGGAACACCAGUGGCGAAGGCGGGUCUCUGGGCCGAUAUCGACGCUGAGGAGCGAAAGCGUGGGGAGCGAACAGG
rnacentral:rRNA from 1 species